GAUGAACGCUAGCUACAGGCUUAACACAUGCAAGUCGAGGGGCAGCAUGGUCUUAGCUUGCUAAGACUGAUGGCGACCGGCGCACGGGUGAGUAACACGUAUCCAACCUGCCGUCUACUCUUGGACAGCCUUCUGAAAGGAAGAUUAAUACAAGAUGGCAUCAUGAGUCCGCAUGUUCACAUGAUUAAAGGUAUUCCGGUAGACGAUGGGGAUGCGUUCCAUUAGAUAGUAGGCGGGGUAACGGCCCACCUAGUCUUCGAUGGAUAGGGGUUCUGAGAGGAAGGUCCCCCACAUUGGAACUGAGACACGGUCCAAACUCCUACGGGAGGCAGCAGUGAGGAAUAUUGGUCAAUGGGCGAGAGCCUGAACCAGCCAAGUAGCGUGAAGGAUGACUGCCCUAUGGGUUGUAAACUUCUUUUAUAAAGGAAUAAAGUCGGGUAUGCAUACCCGUUUGCAUGUACUUUAUGAAUAAGGAUCGGCUAACUCCGUGCCAGCAGCCGCGGUAAUACGGAGGAUCCGAGCGUUAUCCGGAUUUAUUGGGUUUAAAGGGAGCGUAGAUGGAUGUUUAAGUCAGUUGUGAAAGUUUGCGGCUCAACCGUAAAAUUGCAGUUGAUACUGGAUAUCUUGAGUGCAGUUGAGGCAGGCGGAAUUCGUGGUGUAGCGGUGAAAUGCUUAGAUAUCACGAAGAACUCCGAUUGCGAAGGCAGCCUGCUAAGCUGCAACUGACAUUGAGGCUCGAAAGUGUGGGUAUCAAACAGGAUUAGAUACCCUGGUAGUCCACACGGUAAACGAUGAAUACUCGCUGUUUGCGAUAUACGGCAAGCGGCCAAGCGAAAGCGUUAAGUAUUCCACCUGGGGAGUACGCCGGCAACGGUGAAACUCAAAGGAAUUGACGGGGGCCCGCACAAGCGGAGGAACAUGUAGUUUAAUUCGAUGAUACGCGAGGAACCUUACCCGGGCUUAAAUUGCAGAUGAAUUACGGUGAAAGCCGUAAGCCGCAAGGCAUCUGUGAAGGUGCUGCAUGGUUGUCGUCAGCUCGUGCCGUGAGGUGUCGGCUUAAGUGCCAUAACGAGCGCAACCCUUGUUGUCAGUUACUAACAGGUUCCGCUGAGGACUCUGACAAGACUGCCAUCGUAAGAUGUGAGGAAGGUGGGGAUGACGUCAAAUCAGCACGGCCCUUACGUCCGGGGCUACACACGUGUUACAAUGGGGGGUACAGAGGGCCGCUACCACGCGAGUGGAUGCCAAUCCCAAAAACCUCUCUCAGUUCGGACUGGAGUCUGCAACCCGACUCCACGAAGCUGGAUUCGCUAGUAAUCGCGCAUCAGCCACGGCGCGGUGAAUACGUUCCCGGGCCUUGUACACACCGCCCGUCAAGCCAUGGGAGCCGGGGGUACCUGAAGUGCGUAACCGCGAGGAGCGCCCUAGGGUAAAACUGGUGACUGG
rnacentral:rRNA from 1 species